CGUGUUGAUAGGCGCCGCGGAACACCUGCGUCCCUCGCGGGUGCACGAGUUCGCGGUACUCCGCGAACUGCUUGGGCUCGGCCCCCUUCAGCACGUC
rnacentral:tRNA from 1 species